CACUGUCACUCCUACGGGAGGCAGCAGUGGGGAAUCUUGGACAAUGGGGGGCAAACCCUGAUCCCAGCCAUGCCGCGUGAGUGAAGAAGGCCUUAGGGUCGUAAAGCUCUUUCGCCUGUGAAGAUAAUGACGGUAGCAGGUAAAGAAACCCCGGCUAAACUCCGUGCCAGCAGCCGCGGUAAUACGGAGGGGGUUAGCGUUGUUCGGAAUUACUGGGCGUAAAGCGCGCGUAGGCGGACCAGAAAGUUGGGGGUGAAAUCCCGGGGCUCAACCCCGGAACUGCCUCCAAAACUCCUGGUCUUGAGUUCGAGAGAGGUGAGUGGAAUUCCGAGUGUAGAGGUGAAAAUUCGUAGAUAUUCGGAGGAACACCCAGUGGCGAAGGCGGCUCACUGGCUCGAUACUGACGCUGAGGUGCGAAAGUUGUGGGGAGCAAACAGGAUUAGAUACCCUGGUAG
rnacentral:rRNA from 1 species